ACGUAGCUCGGGGCUCAUUUAGCUUGAGUUCAGCACCGAUCGGGCUUUAUUACUCAGCCGACCAUUGCAGUGAGCAGUCAGAAGCCCGUCGUGUCUCUACCCGAGGCCGGAUGGUAAAAUCCAACCUCCAGCGGAUCUUAAACAGUCAUUGCUUUGCUCGCGAGAAAGAAGGAAAACCACAGUGCUUUACUACCAUGGCGGAUUUAAGUAAUAGUAUUUGUGACAUGAUUGGCAAUCUUUCCCUGCACUGUAGUAGUUCCCGUGGUCCGGGGCCUCUGUGGUGCUCCUGAUGCCCCUCUCCCACCCCUGAAGAUCCCAGGUGGGCGAGGUAAUGGUCAACGGGAUCACACUUCUUCAUCUCGGCCGUUCGACUCCAACUUGACGGUGACAGCGGAGCCGGCGGGGAACGGUCGCCCCGGGAUACUCCACUUCCAGAGCCGCCUCACUGUUUCCAGGGUGAUCAACUGGGACGCGGUGCUGAGUGGGAAUGCUCUGUAUGUGGAGAUACCCAUAGACCCCCUCCCCGAGGGCAGCAAGGAGAGUUUUGCGGCUCUCCUGGAGUAUGCAGAAGAAGAUCUUAAAGUUUUCCGCGUGUUCGUCUGCUUUUACAAGAACAGAGAUGAUCGUGCUAAACUUGUGCGCACAUUCAGCUUUCUGGGCUUUGAGAUAGUGAAACCGGGCCAUGCCGUUGUCCCACCUCGACCUGACGUUUUCUUCAUGGCCUACAACUUCGACAGGGACUCUUCCUCCGACGAGGAUUAGCUCUGACCCCUGUGGGGUGUUCCAGGAAGCAGAAUCAUCAUAUUAGCCAGUUAACUUUUGAUAAGCAGUCAAAUCUCUUGAUUUAAAAAAAGAAGUUUAACUUCAAUAAUGGGUUUGUUGGUUGUCAAGUCAGUCAUACAAAGUCUAUAUUUCUAGGAAUGAUUAAAUGAAUUCAUAAUAUUUAGUUAUGACAGUUGGAUGUCUAAGUAACACGUUGAUCCUGCUUUCUGGAAGAGCCAUGCCUAGCCUGCAUCCCAAAUAAUGAAAACUGCCGUUUUCGCUAUUGUCUCACUAACAGUUUCAAUGAAGAGAUGGUUCAGUCAGACUGAAGUCUGAAAGCCAGACUGAUGACCACAAUUGUGAAGUGAAGCAGUUGUGAAAGGGAGCAAUUUCAGUUUGGAUCCAGGCUAACCCCUGCCCCCUACCCAAUGCCCUACCCUCUCCUGUACCCCAGCCAAUCGACCACCUGACCCAAGUGCUUACAGCCUUCCAUGCUUUGUGUCAAAGGAAGCGGAUGAUUAGGAUGUGUAUCCCCUAGUUUCACAGCUCGGCUGAUAUUUGUUAAAUUCUUCAGUUCGGUUUCGUUGGUAUUUUGUUCAACACUUCAGAGGGAACCAUGUUUUUUAAGGACUUUGAGAAUAUUGCAAUUUUGUUGUCAUCAAUCAAUUGUCUAUUGCUAUUUUUUGUUCUUUAUUCUUGUUGCUAAAAAGAUGGAGGACUCGUCGUUAUUUCUUAAAUGUACAAAAACAGGUUGUCAGAAUUACACUUGGGUACUCCAACUUUUAAUUUGAUUGGCUAAGAUAUACCUUAGUCAUUGAAAUAAGAGCAUACGCUUUUAUUUAUUUGGCUAUAUUCAAUAUAAUCUUUUUAUUUCAUUGGUUAAGAUUAAAACAAAAAAACGUCAGCCCCACCUUUUAAUCUGACAAUUGUUUAGAUAUAGAGGCACUCGAUCUUCUGAAAAUGUUGUAAUGAUGUGUGUAAACAUUACUUUUGAGCAAAAACUGCCCCGAUAUUGGUACUUCAUGGCUGGAUAAUAGCUCUUUAGACUAGAAGUGUGUGUUGGAGAGCACAGGUGAAUGCUGUUUUGUGUGACUGGUUUGGGUGCAUUUGUGAUAAAUAUGUAAUAUGAUGGGUGAAUUGGUACAAAGCUUAAAAAAAAGGGGGGGGGGGAUCCAAAGUGCUUUUGCUUUUCUGUCUUGAUACCUGAACAUUAUUGUAGAGCAUCGUUUGGAUACAUGUGUUGUGAUGUCUGAUGGGAUAUUUGGACUAGCAUUCCUUUGAACUUAUUUUUAUUUUAAAUUCAAAAUUGUUUAUAAGUUUGAUGUGCAUCUUGCAUAGUGGUACCUAUUGUGCUUCUGUGACAAUAAAAUUAAGAAAAAUGCAAGUCUCAUCAUGA